ACGAAUUUCAAGUCGGCCUUGCUGUGCUGGUGGAAACACAUGUGCACGCUCGGUCGCAAAUCCACACACCUGUGCAUCUAUGACUCGAGGUUGUCGUCGUAUGACCGAGAGUAACUUUUAUACACUCUUGAAUGUAAAGGAAUGUUCAUGUGCAUAAUGUACAAUUAAA
rnacentral:misc_RNA from 1 species